CACUAUGGCUAUGCCACCCUGAAUGCACCUGAUCUCGUCUGAUCUCGGAAGCUAAGCAGAGUCGAGCCUACUUAGUACUUGGACAGGAGACAACCAAGGAAUACUGGGUGCUGUAGGUG
rnacentral:rRNA from 1 species